GACGAAGGAUGCAAGCGUUAUCCGGAUUCAUUGGGUUUAAAGGGAGCGUAGGUGGCCUUAUAAGUCAGUGGUGAAAUCUCUCGGCUUAACUGAGAAAUUGCCAUUGAUACUGUAGGGCUUGAGUACAGUUGCUGUGGGCGGAAUAUGACAUGUAGUGGUGAAAUACAUAGAGAUGUCAUAGAACACCGAUUGCGAAGGCAGCUCACAAAACUGUAACUGAUACUGAGGCUCGAAAGUGCGGGGAUCAAACAGG
rnacentral:rRNA from 1 species